CACAAUACAAUAUGAAGGCUGUGUGACGUUCAUCUUCGCCAGCUGGAUUAUUUUAUUACCCUUGUCUUUUGCGCACUUGUUGUUUCCUGGGCGGGUUCGCCCGCCACCAGGACCACCAUAUAAACCUUUUUUAUGCAGUUGCAAUCAGCGUCAGUAACAAAAUGUAAAUCAUUUA
rnacentral:misc_RNA from 1 species